rnacentral:rRNA from 1 species
GUGGGGAAUAUUGGACAAUGGGCGAAAGCCUGAUCCAGCCAUGCCGCGUGUGUGAAGAAGGUCUUCGGAUUGUAAAGCACUUUAAGUUGGGAGGAAGGGCAGUAAGUUAAUACCUUGCUGUUUUGACGUUACCGACAGAAUAAGCACCGGCUAACUUCGUGCCAGCAGCCGCGGUAAUACGAAGGGUGCAAGCGUUAAUCGGAAUUACUGGGCGUAAAGCGCGCGUAGGUGGUUUUGUAAGUUGGAGGUGAAAUCCCCGGGCUCAACCUGGGAACUGCCUCCAAAACUGCAUGACUAGAGUACGGUAGAGGGUAGUGGAAUUUCCUGUGUAGCGGUGAAAUGCGUAGAUAUAGGAAGGAACACCAGUGGCGAAGGCGACUACCUGGACUGAUACUGACACUGAGGUGCGAAAGCGUGGGGAGCAAACAGGAUUAGAUACCCGAGUAGUCC